GCCAUGUUCCUCAUCUCAUCUUAUGGCUACUAGUCUGAAGGACCAGACCAGUGAGGAGACCCAAGUCUCCAAGGAUGUGGAGGAACCAUGUUCCUCUUCUCAACUUCUUAUGGCUAGCAACCAGGAUGAUCCUGAAGAUGAGACAGCCAGUACUUCCAGGGGUCUUCAGCAUCCCUAUGACUCUUCAAGCGAGUCUGCUGAGGGUCUUGAUAACCAAGAAGUGCAGGGUAGCCCAGUCAUUCCACCAGAUCAGUCAGAUAGCACAGAUUUACCUGUGAUGACUGUAGAUGGGAAAGUUGAUUUCUUGGUGAAUUACAUGCUGUACAAGUAUCAGGUGAAAGAGAUGAUGAGUAUGAAUGAUAUAAUGACACUCAUUGUCAGAGAAGAUGAAGAUCGUUUUCAUGAAAUCCUCAUGAGAGCUUCUGAGCGUGUGGAGAUGGUCUUUGGGCUGGAUGUGAAGGAAGUAGAUCCUAUCAACCAUUGCUAUGCUCUCUUUAUCAAAUUAGGUCUCAAAAAAAAUAAAAAAUAAAUAAAUAAAAAUUAGGUCUCACCUAUGAUGGGAUGCACAAUGAUGAGUACAGCUUUCCUAAAACUGAUCUCCUGAUACUCAUCCUGGGUGUAGUCUUUAUGAAGGGCAACCGUGCCACUGAAGAGGAGAUUUGGGAAGUGUUGAAUCCAAUGGGAAUCUAUGCUGGGAUGACUCAUUUCAUGUUUGGUGACCCUAGAGAGCUGAUAACUGAUGAGUUUGUGAGGGAGCAAUACCUGGAAUACCAGCCAAUAGCCAAUAGUGAUCCCAUACAGUAUGAAUAUGUGUGGGGGCUACAGGAUAAAGCUGAAACUAGUAAGAUGAGAGUGUUAGAGUUUGUGGCCAAGGUUCAUGGGUCAGACCCUACUGCGUUCCUUUCUCAGUAUGAAGAGGCACUGAUUGAAGAAGAAGAGAGAACCCUUACCAUGCUAUUAGAACACGCUGGCUCAAGUUCUGCUUCUGGUGAAAGUUCUAGUGACACAAGCAGCAAUUUCUCUCAUGUCCAGUACAGUCAGAGAUCAAUUGCUUCUGUAUAAUUUACAGAGAAUUUUUAGACUUGAGGGGGAAGAUGUACGACCUAGGUUGAUAUAGAGAGAAAGGAGUGUCUUAGCUGCGUAGUUCUAAUUUGUAUAAGCACCAUGCCAUGUUUUUCAUUGUUUGCCCUUUAUAUUUGAAUGUACUUACACUUGAAAGCAUUGUUGUUUAGUUUCAAAAUCUCAAUGCCAUUCACAAAUUUAAUAAGAGUGUUGUCAUAACAUGAAACUAAUUGGGAAAUGAUCCCAUCUAUCUGUUUGGUUAUCUGGAGUAGUAAAACAUGCGUUUUCUAAGCUUCUACCUUUUAAACAGCUUUCUUCUAAUUACUUCCUUUGUACCUUUCCAUUUCUCAGUAAAAUUACAUGCUCUAUGUGGAGUUGUUCAUUUUAUAGUUGCCAAGGGUAAUAAAAUUCAAGAAACUUUGAAAAAAAACUACAAUUCUUUCAGUAAGAACAAGAGUGACCUGGUUUUAGUGAACCCAAUAUGCAAAACAAGAACAUUACAAAACAGACAUGCAGAAGGUGAUUACAUUUAUAAGGGACUGCUCAGCAAAACUGCCUGCGUGCAUUUAAACGUUUAAGAUCAUUACUUGGCAGAACCCUCUGGGACACAGAAACUAAAGUUCAAUGUAAAGAUCCACUGCCAAAUGAAGACCAAAAGGACGAAAUAAGCAUCUUUGAAGUAAUAAUGGAAGUCAGGAAGAAAUAGAAUCUCUUCAACAGAACCUCCAUUUACCUUGACAAUAUUGGGGAUCUAGUAAUUAGCCUAGUGCAUGGCCUUUCUGUUUCUCAGGAAUGCAGCCCCCCAAGUUUUAAGCACAGACUUGGGUAUUAUCCUGUGCUGCCCCUUGUGUAUCAUGUCGUCCAGUCUGUUAUCAAGUCAUUUGAAGGAACUCUAAAAUUCUCUUCUGUUUUUCUUCAUUUGUAGCAUAAUUUCCGUUCUGUCCUGAUUAAUUUCUCCAUCGGCAUGGCCAUUGGAAUCACCUAAUACACCUUUCUGAUCAUUUUUUUCUGUAAGAACUUUAAAGGGAUUCCCAAUGCCUAGCUUCUCAACUAGAUUUUUAACCACCCUCAAUAACUUAACUUAAUCUUAACCUUUAGGAUUAUAUUUAGUGCCAGCUAUGUUCAAAGCAUUGACCUCUUUUUUGUUUUGUUUAGACAAAUUGGAUGGCAUAUACAGACGUGAAUGCUCAGUCAUUGGGAGCAACAUCAGGAGUUCAGGCCAUGCUUGGCUAUAUAGUAAGCUUAAGGUCAGCUUGGACUACCUGAGACCCUGUAUUAAAACAACAACAAAAGAAAUGGUAUCUUAAAAAUCCUGUUAAAAUCUGGAACCCAUUUUGUAAUGUCUGACUCAGAAACAGAGAUGAUUCUCUGUGACUAUGAGGAAUAACAGGCCAUUAGCUGAAGGGCUUCAAAUGUUUUACCUUCAACAAAUCAAAGUGACAUAAAUGUUGAAAACUCUUAAAUGUAUUCCAUUCAUGUCCAAGUGUCCAUUUGUUAAAAAGACAUGGACUCUUAGAACAUCUGAGAACGAAAGAACUUCAAACGAUCAUUCACACUGAACGUGAAAACAAAAACAGCAAAACAAGGUCAAGUUCUGUUUCCUGGGAUUUCUUGUGUUUUCUUUCCAGCUCGUGUCUCUAGCUGCAUAUGUAGCAGAAGAUGGCCUAGUUGGCCAUCAUUGGGAAAAGAGGCCCCUUGGUCUUGCAAACUUUAUAUGCCUCAGUACAGGGAAAUGCCAGGGCCAAGAAGUGGGAGUGGGUAGGGGAGCAGGGCAGGGGGAGGGUAUAGGGAACUUUUGAGAUAGCAUUUGAAAUGUAAAUUUUAAAAAAUCUAAUAAAAAAAGAAGCUACCAUUCAUUGGUAAAUGAAACCAAUUUUAGAAAAUGUAUGAAAUGAGAGCUUUAAAAAAAAUGCCCCUUGUGAUUUGACUUCAGAGAAGCUAUACUGGGAGACUAAUUGUGAAUGUAUACAAAGAUCUUUUAUAUAAAUAUAUGUAUAUAUCAAAUGUUAAUUUAUAACAACGGACAUAAAUAGGUGUAACCUUAAGUGAUUCCAAACUGGAGAAUAGUCAAAUACAUUAAGACUAAUUAGCAUGAGAUGUUAGUAUAUGACAGUAAAAAACACAUUCUCUCAGUCUUACCUGCAGGCCACUCUCCUAUAUACAAAGGAAAAAUGAUACUGAGAAGGAUAGAGAUAUAGAAAGUGUUAAUGUAGAAGAUGAUGUAUGAAAAGUUUCUUUAAAAAUCAAGUAAAAACACUGGGUAGGAAAACCUGGGUUAAGAAAGAACACACUAGUGGUCUGGUAGCUCAGACUUCUCUGGAGGCAGAAGCUGGCGAGUUUCUAUGAGUUCAAGGCGAACCUGGUCUUACAUAGUGACUGCCAGGCCAGUCAGUACUACUUAGUGAACUGAAAGCCAAUCU